rnacentral:lncRNA from 1 species
GCAACCUCCGCCUCUCAGGUUCAAGCGAUUCCCGUCACAGCCUCCUGAGUAGCUGGGAUUACAGGCAUGGGCCACCAUGCCCAGCUAUUUCUGUAUUUUUAGUAGAGACAGGGUUUCACCGUGUUGGUCAGGCUGGUCUCGAACUCCUGACCUCAGGUGAUCCACCCACCUCAGCCUCCCAAAAUGCUGGGAUUACAGGUGUGAGCCACCACACCUGGUGUAGUUUUUGUUGUUGUUGUUUUGAGAUGGAAUUUCACUCGUUGCCCAGGCUGGAGUGCAAUGGCGUGAUCUCGGCUCACUGCAACCUCCACCUCCUGAUUUCAAGCAUUCUCCUACCUCAGCCUCCCGAGUAGCUGGAAUUACAGGCAUGUGCCACCACGCCCAGGUAAUUUUUGCAUUUUUAGCAGAGACAGGGUUUCACCAUGUUGGCCAGGCUAGUCUCGAUCUCCUGACCUCAUGUGAUCCACCCACCUUGGCCUCCCAAAGUGCUGGGAUUACAGGUGUGAGCCACCGCACCUGGUCCAGACUACUUGUUUGUUUUUGAGAUGGAGUUUUGCUCUUGUUGCCUAUACUGGAGUGCGAUGGCACUGUCUUGGCUCACUGAAACCUCCUCCUCCCAGGUUUGAGCAAUUCUCCUGCCUCAGCCUCCCGAAGUGCUGGGAUCUCCCCUCCUCGGCCUCCCAAAGUGCUGGAAUUACAGGCAUAAGCCACCACGCCCGGAUGCCAGUUUACUUCUUUAUGCCUCUGUUUCCUCCUCUAUGGAGGGCUAUUAGGAUCAAACCCCUCAGCUCUGGUAGCAGCAAACACAGCACAGUUGAGGGAUGGCUUUUCUGGCCUUCAGCUGGUGCUCGCUUCUCCCCCCUGUAGAGUGUGAGACUGAGGCUACUGAUUGCAUCUCUUCAGCCACAUCCUCUGGGCUGGCUGUUAGGGACCAGAAAGGAAGCAGCCCUGGGCCCUAUCCAGAUGCCUCAGGGGUUGGGGUGAAGACUCAUCCACCAAAAGUGGAAGAAGCCACAGCUGACUGCUUCAGGAGGCAUGCCCCCAUAACCUCAGGCAGACGCUUCACUUCUCUGGCCUGUUUCUGCCUCAAACUGUGUCCGGAAUUGGUGGGUUCUUGGUCUCACUGACUUCAAGAAUGAAGCCGUGGACCCUCGUGGUGAGUGUUACAGUUCUUAAAGGCGGCGUGUCCGGAGUUUUUUCCUUCUGAUGUUCGGAUGUGUUCGGAGUUUCUUCCUUCUGGUGGGGUUCGUGGUCUUCCCGGCUCAGGAGUGAAGCUGCAAACCUUCGUGAGACAGGAUCUCACCAUGUUGCCCAAACUCCUGGCCUCCAGCGAUCCUCCCACCUCAGUCUCCCAGAGUGUUGGAAUUACAGAUGUGAGCCACCGCUCCCAGCUUUUUCAAAUUAUUGAAUGUUCCAGUGGACUCAGCCUGGAUCAGACAUCUAUCUCCAGUCCAAUCAGCUAAGGACUAGAGGGAGGGAGAGAACAGGGUCAGGAAGCCUGGACAGGCUGGACACGUGGAUUCUCUCAGAAGCCUGGGAGGUGGUGAUGGGGGUCCCUGCAAGUGACUGGCAGCCUAGGGAGUGCGCAGGCUGGACCUUGGGAGUUGGGUGAUCCAAGGGCUUGAAGUAGGGCUGCUGGCUGGAAGUGGGACUGUGGGCACUCACCUGCCACCCGUGUGUCCAGCAGAAGAGUGAGGCUGGAGGGUCCUAUGAAGAUCUGCUUCUCACUUCUCCCUUUGGGAGGGCUUAUAGGUCACAGGUCACAGCAAGGCACAUGGGGUAGGAGAAGCCUCCAUUGAGGAAAUUACAUAUAUGCCCUCCCCCGCACCACCGCUGCCACUGUAAAUUAAGAAAAAAGCACUGUUGUGUUGGAAGGUGUGCCUUAGAGGGGGAGCAGGGCAACAGCCAGCCCUGGCUGACACCAAGAAAUGUGUGUUUGGCUGGGCAUGGUGGCUCACACCUGUACUCCCAGCACUUUGGAAGGCUGAGGCGGGUAGAUAGUUUGAGGCCACACGUUCAAGACCAGCGUGGGCAACAUAGCAAAGCCCUGUCUCUGAAACAUAAAGAAAGAAAAUGAAAGAAAAAGAAAGAAAGGGAGGGAGGGAGGGAGGGAGGGGCCGGGCCCAGUGGCUCAUGGCUGUAAUCCCAACACUUCGAGAGGCCAAGGCGGGUGGAUCACCUGAGGUCAGGAGUUUGAGACUAGCCUGGCCAACAUGGUGAAACCCUGUCUCUACUAAAAAUUAAAAAAAAAAUUAGCCGGGCAUGAUGGCGCAUGCCUGUAGUGCCAGCUACUCGGGAGGCUGAGGCAGGAGAAUUGCCAGAACCGGAAAGCAGAGGUUGCAGUAAGCCAAGAUCGUGCCAGUGCACUCCAGCCUGGGCAACAGAGGGACUCCGUCUCAAAAAAAAAAAAAAAAAAAGAAAAGAAAAAGAAAAGAAAGAAAAGAAAAAAAAAAGUAAAGAAAGAAAGGAGGGAGGGAGGAAGGGAAGGAAGAAAGGAAGGAGAAAGAAAGAAGAAAAGAAAGAAAAGGAAGGAAGGAAGAAAGAAAGAGAAAGGCCGGGCGCAGUGGCUUAUGCCUGUAAUCCCAGCACUUUGGGAGGCCGAGGCGGUUGGAUCACGAGGUCAGGAGUUCGAGACCAGCCUGGGCAACAUGGUGAAACCCCGUCUCUACUAAAAUACAAAAAAUUAGCCGGGCGUGGUGGCGGGUGCCUGUAGUCCCAGCUACUCGGGAGGCUGAGGCAGAAGAAUCGCUUGAACCCAGGAGGCGGAGGUUGCAGUGAGCCGAGAUUGUGCCACUGCACUCCAGCCUGGGUGACAGAGCAAGACUCUGUCUCAAAAAAAAAAAAAGAAAAAGAAAAAAAAAAGAAAGAGAAAGGAGAGGAGAAGGAAAGAAGAAAGGAAGGAAGGAAGGAAGGAAAAAAGGAAGGAGAAAGAAAAAGGGAAAGAAAGAAGAAAGAGAAGAGGAGGAAGAAGGGAGGGAGGGAGGGAGGGAAACUGCGUGCACCGUGCAACACUGUGAUUGGAGUGACUUGUUACUCCAGUGUAACCCACUGCCAACAGCCUGGUACUCGAGGCCGUAGUAAGCUCUUGUUAAAUAGUUGGAAAUGGGAUGAUUGCCAGUUACAGAACAAUGGGCCUGGCUCAUGCUGCCAGAGUAGUUUGAGAGCGGGUUCUUGCUAGAGCAAGAGAGAGGGGAGUUAGUCUUCGCUUGCAGCUGGAGCAGUAGCUGUCCCGAGUGGGCAGGGAGGCCCUGGCCCUCUCCUUCCUGUUGCUCUGCCCUCCCUCGGGUGUGGCACUCUCCCUGUUUGGUGGUUGAAGACACUUGCUGUUCCCUCUCCCGAGUCUGCAGACCAUUGCAAGGCACCGAAUGCACACCCAGAACGCUCAUCCAGCACGCCCUUUUUCUCAAGUAGGGUGCGUGGCCAUGUGGGAGACAACUCGGAGUCUUUGCCACAGACACCACGGGGACACGGCUCUUCCAUUUGGUGACAAAUCGCACUGCUGGUGAGAUACUGAGCUGCGCGUCGCUGGGAAGGAAAGCAGAGGCUGGACCUCUGGGAUUCCCGGUGAGAAUCCUGCAGGGCAGGCCCCAGGUGGAGGGGGCGACCCCGGUCUCCAGGGCCGGGGGAGGCAGCGAGGCCCAAGGACAGGCGGCGGAGGCGGGAGGCGGCGAAUGGGCUCCUCCCGAGGCCCGGACCAACCCCUGGCCGUGAGGCCGCGCCCCGCCGCGUUCAGCGAAGGGAAGCAGGCACCCCGCCCGGCUCUCCGCUGCCUCCACACUCGGGGACCCUGGGCGCUCACGUGUUCCCCUCUGGGCCUCAGGAUUCAAGGAUGCGCCCUCUUGCAAACAGUCCGUGGCCUGCGACAGAAAGAAAACCCCUGGGAGCGGUCGGGGUGGGGACCCACAAAACGCUGUGGCUAAACCGCAUGGCGCCAAGCCCGAUCGGAGCGUGGCGUGGGAAUCGAGUCAAAUUUACCCUGCUAGGUGCGGCUCCAACAAGGUCCCGGGUACUCCUCUAACGCCCAGUGAGGGCAGCACUGCCUUUGUCCCUGCCCCACGGACAGGACACGGAGGCUCCGACAUACAAAAGGACUUAACCCGAGGGGAAAUGUUAGAGCCGGGCUCCAACCCAGGACUUCCUGAGUCUAAGCCCAAUCUGGCCCUAGACGAGCUGCCACGGUGGGCUGCACCCUCCACGGCAGGAGCUUGCCUGGCCUUGCUUCUUAGGUGAGUGUCCAGCCCAGGCCUUUAGAAGUUUGCUUCUUUAUCAGGUCACAUGUUUUUGGACAUUUGUGAUCACUGCUUUGCCAUUGCAAAGGGGGACAAGAGGCCCAGGGAGCCCCCUCAUUUACCAGCCCCUUCCUGGGAGGCUCAGAAAGCAGCCAGCUGCCCCCACAUGCACGGUGGCCUGUGCAUCAGUGUAGCUUGGCGGGUCAUUUUACAGAGGAGGCGACCAAGGAGGUGGCAGGCUGCAGUCGGGGUCCCCAAGGUGAUACCUCCAUCUCCAGUGUCAAGGCUCUGAGGAGGGAGCUGGGGACCUCAGGAGGCAGUGGCAGUGGAGGAGCUGGUGUGGAUGAACCUGAAAGGGGCAGGAAAGGCACUUGGGCAGCCUGGAGCAGGCAGGAGUUGUCACCCGCUCUCUCUAAGCCAGCCCUGCACAAAGCCACUGGCCUUACCUCCUGCAGGUGAAGCAGGUACAGAGCUACCUUCUGCUUCCAGCCUCGGGGGUGAAAUGACCCCCUGCUAAAGUCACACAGAGUAUGGGGCAGCAUCAGGACUACAGGCCAAAUCAUCUGACUCCAGAGCCCUCUCUACACAGAGCUGGGAGGUAAAGGUAUGAAUUAUUCCCAUUUUACAGGUGAGGAAGCAAUGGCCCAGAGAGUUUAAGUAGCUUGUUCAAGGUCACACAGCAAGAAAAUAGAGACAGCCAUACCACUCCUAGAAUCUCCAGUGUCCUCACCUGCACUCAACUCAAUGUGUGAAACUCCCGACUCACGCCUGGCGUGUGCUCGGUGCACAGUCCAUGUUAGAUCCUUUGUUUGGUCUUCUACAGAUAUUUUGAAAGACAUUUUAUGUCUGUAAUAUACAGUCAGGAGAGACAGCCAAAAGGAUGUGGAGAAAAUGUCCUCAGAUGGUUGGAGGUCUUGAAGGUUUUCUUCCCAGGGACGCCAGCACCUCUGAUCACUGAGGCGAAACCCCCUGCCUGAAGUGCUUGUUCAACAUGCUUCUGCAACAUCACUUGGUCCUCGAAAAUUUCUGGUUUGGGAGAACUGCCAACGAUGCCCCUAGAGACCUUUCAAACCUCUUUGCUAAUUCCUCUUGCCAAGAGAUGCUUGAGAGGAAAAAUUAACAUGAAUAAAAGAUCAUUGAAAGAAUCUACAGGCCGGGCGCGGUGGCUGACGCCUGUAAUCCCAACACUUUGGGAGGCCAAGGCAGGUGAAUCACCUGAGGUCAGAUGUUCAAGACCAGCCUGACCAACAUGGUAAAACCCCAUCUCUACUAAAAAAAAAAAAAAAAAAAAAAAUUAGCUGGGCGUGGUGGCGGGCGCCUGUAAUCCUAGCUACUUUGGAGGCUGAGGCAGGAGAAUCACCUGAACCCAGGAGGCAGAGGUUGCAGUGAGCCGAGAUCACACCACUGCACUCCAGCCUGGGCAACAAGAGCGAAAUUCCAUCUAAAAAAAAAAAAGAAUCUACAGUCCAAUUUGGUGGUGGCUAAGCGACAAUGUUUUGUUGUCUACGUUGUAGUUGCUGGUGUAUGUGCGGUUGGAAGUAAAUUCAGGAGUAGGGAAAAGUAAUUGCUGUGCGUGAACCCCGGUGGCUGUGGAGUGGCACCCUGGGGGAUCCACCAGCCCGCCCUGGUGUCAGGCUUGGAUGGUUUCCACUUUUCUUGCUGUUAUAAAUAACACCAGUUUAAACACCUUUGUACUUGGAGCACUUUUCUUUGAGUUGUCACCUCAGGAUAGAUGCCCAGGAGUGGGAGUUCUCAUGCAGCUCCUGCCAGUGAUUUCUGGCCGCCGCAGCAGUGUGGGAGUGGAGUUCACGGUCACAGCCUGGCUGUGCGCUGGGUUUCAUAAUAGAUACCAGGUGUAACGCGAUACCGCGGGGUUGUCCUAAUUUGCAUUUCCUUAGGACUAUCCCAGAGUUCUUCAUAGACUCUCUAAGAAACAUCAGGGUUUCCUGGAAAGUGUGAAUUAAGGACAAAUAUUCUAUCUGAUAAAAAAAAAAAAAAAGGGCCGGGCACGGUGGCUCACACCUGUAAUCCAGCACUUUGGGAGGCCGAGGUGGGCUCAAGCGAUCCUCCUGUCUCAGUCUCCUGUGUUGUUCUGACUACAGGAAUGCACCACUGUACCCCACUUUGGAACCCUUUUUAUUGUGAAUAUAAUACACCUCCAGGAAAUUACAUAAAACUUGAAUGUUCAGGGCCGGGCGUGGUGGCUCACGCCUGUAAUCCCAGCACUUUGGGAGGCCGAGGCAGGCGGAUCACGAGGUCAGGAGAUCGAGACCACGGUGAAACCCCGUCUCUACUAAAAAUACAAAAAAUUAGCCGGGUGCGGUGGCGGGCGCCUGUAGUCCCAGCUACUCAGGAGGCUGAGGCAGGAUAAUGGCGUGAACCCGGGAAGCGGAGUUUGCAGUGAGCUGAGAUCGCGCCACUGCACUCCAGCCUGGGUGACAG